AUACGUAGGGGGCGAGCGUUGUCCGGGAUGAUUGGGCGUCAAGGGCUCGUAGGCGGCGCGGCAAGUCUGGAGUGAACGUCCUGCUUUCAGGGCGGGAAUUGCUUUGGAUACUGCCGCCCUUGAGUGCAGGACAGGUGCUCGGAAUUACCGGUGUAGCGGUCAAGGGCGUAGAGAUCGGGAGGAACACCAGUGGCGAAGGCGGGUAACUGGACUGCAACUGACGCUGAGGCGCGAAAGUGUGGGGAGCAAACAGGAUUAGAUACCCUGGUAGUCCACACUGUAAACGAUGAAUGCUAGGUGUAAGAGGUAUCGACCCCUUUUGUGCCGGAGUCAACACAAUAAGCAUUCCGCCUGGGGAGUACGGCCGCAAGGUUGAAACUCAAAGGAAUUGACGGG
rnacentral:rRNA from 1 species